rnacentral:hammerhead_ribozyme from 1 species
AUCCGGUUGACCAGUCCAAAAUAGGACGAAACUCGCGUCCUAGAU